ensembl:scaRNA
UUAAAGAUUUAUUUAUUUUGCUUUUAGCCUCCUAAAUGAAAAGAUAGAUAGAACAGGUCUUGUUUACAAAGUAAAUUCAAAACCUACUUAUCUACCAGCAGCA